AAGGGUGAUGGGGUAGCAGUGGGAGGUGUGGCAAGUGGCUGGGGCGCCCAGAAUCCAGCCUCUCUGGGCUGUGGGUGGGCACGCCCAGGCUGAGUGAUGCUCCUCCACUACCUGGCAGUGUGUUUCAGCUCACCCAUGAUGUGUACAAACCCUUCAUCUUCGCUGCUGAUACCCUGACAGAUCUGAGCAUGUGGGUGCGUCAUCUCAUUACCUGCAUCUCCAAGUACCAGUCUCCAGGCCGGGCCCCCCCACCCCGAGAGGAAGGUAGGUGUCUCGCAGGGUUGAGUGGGAGGAACCCUCACCUGAGCCUGUGCCUUUCCUGGGAUGGGGGCUAGGAACUCAAAUGCCCUAGGCCACUCCCUGGCCUCCCAAAAACCCACUGCUGCUCCUCACCCCAGACUGCUACAGUGAGACCGAAGCAGAGGACCCGGACGAUGAGGCUGGGUCCCACUCAGCCUCGCCCAGCCCUGCUCAAGCUGGGAGUCCCCUCCAUGGAGACACAUCACCUGCAGCCACCCCCACACAGCGCAGCCCACGGACCUCCUUUGGCUCUCUGACAGACAGCAGUGAAGAGGCACUGGAAGGAAUGGUACGGGGGCUGAGGCAGGGUGGCGUGUCCCUCCUAGGCCAGCCACAGCCCCU
rnacentral:lncRNA from 1 species